rnacentral:rRNA from 1 species
AUUGAACGCUGGCGGCAGGCCUAACACAUGCAAGUCGAGCGGGGUUUUCGGACCUAGCGGCGGACGGGUGAGUAAUGCGUAGGAAGCUGCCCGAUAGAGGGGGAUACCAGUUGGAAACGACUGUUAAUACCGCAUAAUGUCUACGGACCAAAGUGUGGGACCUUCGGGCCACAUGCUAUCGGAUGCGCCUACGUGGGAUUAGCUAGUUGGUGAGGUAAUGGCUCACCAAGGCGACGAUCUCUAGCUGAUUUGAGAGGAUGAUCAGCCACACUGGAACCGAGACACGGUCCAGACUCCUACGGGAGGAAGCAGUGGGGAAUAUUGGACAAUGGGCGCAAGCCUGAUCCAGCCAUGCCGCGUGUGUGAAGAAGGCCUUCGGGUUGUAAAGCACUUUCAGCGAGGAGGAAGGGGUGUGUGUUAAUAGUACACACCUUUGACGUUACUCGCAGAAGAAGCACCGGCUAACUCUGUGCCAGCCGCCGCGGUAACAC